rnacentral:pre_miRNA from 1 species
UGGACAGAUUACUGUAUACGACUGUAUUCACGGCAUGAAACAGGGGAUUACACUGUUUUUAACGGAAAGUGUAUCAAUUAACAUAAUAGACUCCU